GGUGGCUCAGUGGUAGAGUGCUUGCCUAGCAUGCAUGAAGCCCUGGGUUCAAUUCCUCAGCACCA
rfam:Dipodomys ordii contig_67935, whole genome shotgun sequence.